rnacentral:rRNA from 1 species
UACGGAGGGGGCAAGCGUUGUUCGGAAUUACUGGGCGUAAAGGGCGCGCAGGCGGCUGCUCAAGUCAGGCGUGAAAGGCCUGGGCUCAACCCGGGAAUUGCGCUUGAGACUGGGCUGGCUUGAGUGCGGGAGAGGAUGGUGGAAUUCCCAGUGUAGAGGUGAAAUUCGUAGAUAUCGAGAGGAACAUCGGUGGCGAAGGCGGCCUUCUGGACAGCGACUGACGCUGAGACGCGAAAGCGUGGGGAGCAAACAGG